rnacentral:rRNA from 1 species
GAUGAACGCUGGCGGCGUGCCUAUACAUGCAAGUCGAGCGAAUGGAUUAAGAGCUUGCUCUUAUGAAGUUAGCGGCGGACGGGUGAGUAACACGUGGGUAACCUGCCCAUAAGACUGGGAUAACUCCGGGAAACCGGGGCUAAUACCGGAUAACAUUUUGAACCGCAUGGUUCGAAAUUGAAAGGCGGCUUCGGCUGUCACUUAUGGAUGGACCCGCGUCGCAUUAGCUAGUUGGUGAGGUAACGGCGCACCAAGGCAACGAUGCGGAGCCGACCUGAGAGGGUGAGCGGCCACACGGGGACGGGGAGACGGCCCAGACUCCUGCGGGAGGCAGAAGUAGGGAAUCUUCCGCAAUGGACGAAAGUCUGACGGAGCAACGCCGCGUGAGUGAUGAAGGCUUUCGGGUCGUAAAACUCUGUUGUUAGGGAAGAACAAGUGCUAGUUGAAUAAGCUGGCACCUUGACGGUACCUAACCAGAAAGCCACGGCUAACUACGUGCCAGCCGCCGCCGUAA